GGGAGAUGGCUCAGUGGCUAAGAGCACUUGUUCUGUAAGCAUGAGGUCCUGAGUUCAAAUCCCUGGCACCCA
rnacentral:tRNA from 1 species